rnacentral:rRNA from 1 species
UACGAAGGGGGCUAGCGUUGUUCGGAAUUACUGGGCGUAAAGCGCACGUAGGCGGAUAUUUAAGUCAGGGGUGAAAUCCCGCAGCUCAACUGCGGAACUGCCUUUGAUACUGGGUAUCUUGAGUAUGGAAGAGGUUAGUGGAAUUGCGAGUGUAGAGGUGAAAUUCGUAGAUAUUCGCAAGAACACCAGUGGCGAAGGCGGCUACUGGCC